GGUGGAGCAUGUGGUUUAAUUCGAAGCAACGCGCAGAACCUUACCAACCUUUGACAUCCUGUGCUAACCCGAGAGAUCGGGCGUUCACUUCGGUGACGCAGUGACAGGUGCUGCAUGGCUGUCGUCAGCUCGUGUCGUGAGAUGUUCGGUUAAGUCCGGCAACGAGCGCAACCCACACCCUUAGUUGCCAGCAUUCAGUUGGGCACUCUAGGGGAACUGCCCGUGAUAAGCGGGAGG
rnacentral:rRNA from 1 species